UCUGGCGGCGAGUGGCGAACGGGUGAGUAAUGUAUCGGAACGUACCCAGUAGCGGGGGAUAACUACGCGAAAGCGUGGCUAAUACCGCAUACGCCCUUUGGGGGAAAGCGGGGGACCUUCGGGCCUCGCACUAUUGGAGCGGCCGAUAUCGGAUUAGCUAGUUGGUGAGGUAAAGGCUCACCAAGGCGACGAUCCGUAGCUGGUUUGAGAGGACGACCAGCCACACUGGGACUGAGACACGGCCCAGACUCCUACGGGAGGCAGCAGUGGGGAAUUUUGGACAAUGGGGGCAACCCUGAUCCAGCCAUCCCGCGUGUGCGAUGAAGGCCUUCGGGUUGUAAAGCACUUUUGGCAGGGAAGAAAAGGUGCCGGCGAAUACCCGGCGCCGCUGACGGUACCUGCAGAAUAAGCACCGGCUAACUACGUGCCAGCAGCCGCGGUAAUACGUAGGGUGCAAGCGUUAAUCGGAAUUACUGGGCGUAAAGCGUGCGCAGGCGGCUCGGAAAGAAAGAUGUGAAAUCCCAGGGCUUAACCUUGGAAUGGCAUUUUUAACUCCCGAGCUAGAGUAUGUCAGAGGGGGGUAGAAUUCCACGUGUAGCAGUGAAAUGCGUAGAGAUGUGGAGGAAUACCGAUGGCGAAGGCAGCCCCCUGGGAUAAU
rnacentral:rRNA from 1 species